UUUCCGUAGGUGAACCUGCGGAAGGAUCAUUAAAGAGUAAGGGUCUUCUAGGCCCGACCUCCCAACCCUUUGUUUACCAAACCAUUGUUGCUUCGGCGGGCCCGUCCCAGGACCGCCGGAGGACCGUCAAACGUCCUCUGGCCCGCGCCCGUCGAUGGCCCCUAUCAUUAAACUCUGAACCAAACGUGUCCUGUCUGAGUGAUUAUUAUCAAAAAUUAAAGCAAAACUUUCAACAACGGAUCUCUUGGUUCUG
rnacentral:misc_RNA from 1 species